rnacentral:rRNA from 1 species
AUUGAACGCUGGCGGCAGGCUUAACACAUGCAAGUCGAACGAUGAUUAUCUAGCUUGCUAGAUAUGAUUAGUGGCGGACGGGUGAGUAACAUUUAGGAAUCUGCCUAGUAGUGGGGGAUAGCUCGGGGAAACUCGAAUUAAUACCGCAUACGACCUACGGGUGAAAGGGGGCGCAAGCUCUUGCUAUUAGAUGAGCCUAAAUCAGAUUAGCUAGUUGGUGGGGUAAAGGCCCACCAAGGCGACGAUCUGUAACUGGUCUGAGAGGAUGAUCAGUCACACCGGAACUGAGACACGGUCCGGACUCCUACGGGAGGCAGCAGUGGGGAAUAUUGGACAAUGGGGGCAACCCUGAUCCAGCCAUGCCGCGUGUGUGAAGAAGGCCUUUUGGUUGUAAAGCACUUUGAGCAGGGAGGAGAGGCUAAUGGUUAAUGCCCAUUAGAUUAGACGUUACCUGCAGAAUAAGCACCGGCUAACUCUGUGCCAGCAGCCGCGGUAAUACAGAGGGUGCGAGCGUUAAUCGGAAUUACUGGGCGUAAAGCGAGUGUAGGUGGCUCAUUAAGUCGCAUGUGAAAUCCCCGGGCUUAACCUGGGAACUGCAUGUGAUACUGGUGGUGCUAGAAUAUGUGAGAGGGAAGUAGAAUUCCAGGUGUAGCGGUGAAAUGCGUAGAGAUCUGGAGGAAUACCGAUGGCGAAGGCAGCUUCCUGGCAUAAUAUUGACACUGAGAUUCGAAAGCGUGGGUAGCAAACAGGAUUAGAUACCCUGGUAGUCCACGCCGUAAACGAUGUCUACUAGCCGUUGGGGUCCUUGAGACUUUAGUGGCGCAGUUAACGCGAUAAGUAGACCGCCUGGGGAGUACGGCCGCAAGGUUAAAACUCAAAUGAAUUGACGGGGGCCCGCACAAGCGGUGGAGCAUGUGGUUUAAUUCGAUGCAACGCGAAGAACCUUACCUGGUCUUGACAUAGUGAGAAUCCUGCAGAGAUGCGGGAGUGCCUUCGGGAAUUCACAUACAGGUGCUGCAUGGCUGUCGUCAGCUCGUGUCGUGAGAUGUUGGGUUAAGUCCCGCAACGAGCGCAACCCUUUUCCUUAUUUGCCAGCGGGUUAAGCCGGGAACUUUAAGGAUACUGCCAGUGACAAACUGGAGGAAGGCGGGGACGACGUCAAGUCAUCAUGGCCCUUACGACCAGGGCUACACACGUGCUACAAUGGUAGGUACAGAGGGUUGCUACACAGCGAUGUGAUGCUAAUCUCAAAAAGCCUAUCGUAGUCCGGAUUGGAGUCUGCAACUCGACUCCAUGAAGUCGGAAUCGCUAGUAAUCGCAGAUCAGGAUGCUGCGGUGAAUACGUUCCCGGGCCU